rnacentral:misc_RNA from 1 species
GAUGAAGAACGCAGCGAAAUGCGAUAAGUAAUGUGAAUUGCAGAAUUCAGUGAAUCAUCGAAUCUUUGAACGCACAUUGCGCCCCCUGGUAUUCCGGGGGGCAUGCCUGUCCGAGCGUCAUUACAACCCUCAAGCUCAGCUCGGUGUUGGGCCCCGCCGCCCCGGCGGGCCCUAAAGUCAGUGGCGGUGCCGUCCGGCUCCGAGCGUAGUAAUUCUUCUCGCUCUGGAGGUCCGGUCGUGUGCUCGCCAGCAACCCCCAAUUUUUUUCAGGUUGACCUCGGAUCAGGUAGGGAUACCCGCUGAACUUAAGCAUAUCAAUAAGCGGAGGA